UGGGAUUACGGGCAUGAGCCACCAUGCCCAGCCCGAGGCUUUUGUUUUUAUGUAAGUUUAGAUUUUAUAAAACAUCAGCAUUUUUGUAAACAAACAUGCUAAAUUUCAGCACUUUGGAGACCACCAACACAUUAGCCUCUAUUCUCAUUAUAUUACUAAUGUGAACCUAUAAAAUUAUCAAAGGUUCAGCUCUUAUUUAAUAUGUAGUUUUAUAUAAGAUUUCAUUUGGAGGAAAAAAAAAUGGAUUCCACUGUCAAAAAGUUUGAAAUGCACUAAGCUUAAUUCAGCUUUUUUAGAGAAGGGAACAGACCUAGAGGUGCAGAGAUGGGCCCACACUGACUGGAAGCCAAGUGUCCCUACUCUCAUAAGACUUUCUGCUUCGUAUAAAAAGCAUGAUGUAAAUUCCACAGAACUUGGGGGUGGGGGUGCGGGCCACAUAACUCCAUAAUCUCUAGAAUUCCUAUUUUCCUACUUACAGGUCUUCCUGCUCAUGUCUGGUGUAGGGUGGUUGCCUUGAGGGGCUUCUAGAAAUACACAGGUGUGGUGACCUCAUCUGUCUUCAUUUCUGCCUCCAAAACAAGGCUCCCUUCCUGCUGCCGAGCCCCCUGCUGACUCUCCCUUGGGUUCCCCUCUGUGUGCUGCCCUAAGCUGGAGCGUCCACGUCUAAUGCAACGCAGGUGAGUCCGUCCACCGGGUACUUCUUGGGUGUUUAGAUGCCUGUUGAAAAUGGGUCCUCAAUCGGCCGGGCACGAUGGCUCACACCUGUAAUCCCAGCACUUUGGGAGGCCGAGGUGUGCGCAUCACGAAGUCAGAAGAUCGAGACCAUCCUGGCUAACAAGGUGAAACCCCGUCUCUACUAAAAAUACAAAAAAUUAGCCGGGCGAGGUGGCGGGCGCCUGUAGUCCCAGCUAUUCGGGAGGCUGAGGCAGGAGAAUGGCGUGAACCCAGGAGGUGGAGCUUGCAGUGAGCUGAGAUCCCGCCACUGCACUCCAGCCUGGGCGACAGAACAAGACUCUGUCUCAAAAAAAAAAAAAAAGAAAACGGGUCCUCAAUCAAGGAGCGACCCCCAGAGUGAGCGCCACGCCUGAGGCUCGGAGCAGGGUCACCUCCUCCUUUCAAACAGGAAUCUAUGCUGAGGCUGGAGCCUCUUUAGACCCACGUGGCCCCACAGCCCACAAAACUGAGGCUGACCCCAGGGCUUGAGCUAAAGGAAACAGUCACGCAUAUCACCUGUUGCUGUCAGAGGACUUGUGAGAAGCCGCCUUGUUUCCAGUGCUGUCAGAGCCCAGGUGAUUCUCUAGUAAAUGCUUUGCCAGGAAACCUGGAGGUUUCUUCCUUCGGGAUUGCUUCUUUGUGGGUUUCAAACAGACUAGAAUAAAAAGCCUGCUACGGAAAAUUGACAUCAUAAUUAAAGGCCCAGAGGUCGGUGUGAGACUGGCAUGAGGGGCAGAGGAGGGACAUGGGGCCCCCCCGGAGUCUCCGACCACUCCCAGGCUCAAGAGUUCCCUCUGAGGACUCACAGGGGUGAGUAGAGCUGUCGGACACAUGGCUACAAUUAUGCCAGUGAGCAGACACUGAUGAAAAUCAGGAACAGGACAAGAUGCACAGGGCAGGGCUGUCCAGGAGACGUCAGAGCUGCCAGCCGUCCUCUCCCCGUGGAGCCCUGCGGCGCACUGGCUUCUCCCGGUGACGGUGUGCACCAGCUCGCGUGGAGUAUCGCCCACCAGGGAAGCUCGCCUGAGCAUUGGCGUCCACAGUUUUACUGGGGGUUUAUCAUGUGUACAUGGUGGCCUCGGUGUCCAGCCCCUCCAGAGGUGGAGCCAUCCUGUGUGGCCCGAGACCCCCAGCAUAAAUCAUGUCGUUUGCCUAGACUGGCCAGCAGGGCCCAAGGCCCCCGGCUAGACAAAGGCGCUCUCACCGGGCACAGCAUGCCAAGGGCCUCUCGGCUGCUGCAAAGCUGGGGAAAAGGCCAGACCUCUCUUUGGACAAGGUUGAACCUUUCCUGAACAGCUGUCCUCCCCACAGGAGGAACCGGAGUACAGAGGCUCAUCUGCUGGGCCGAGGUAGCUAAGGGCAAUGUGGGGGUCCCACAGUCAACCCAGGACCUCCCUAACUCAAAGCUCUUCCCGCUACACAGCAAGAAGAAGGGACUUCCCAGCUAAAUGGCGAUGUCUGCUUUCCAGUGAAUCUGAGAAAGGAGAGGCUUCCAGAGUGAGAAUAACUUGCAGAGGAGAAGGAAUAGAACCUGCCUUCAGAAUGUGAACCACUCCCUGUAACUCAGAGAUAAAACAAUCCCAUACCUUGAA